rnacentral:lncRNA from 10 species
GUGGGGAAACCUGGAGGGAAAAAUGGAACUGAUCAGGUGCAUUUCAAUUGGGCCGUGGUAUUUUAGGCAACACCUCUGCUGGAGAGGUUGUUGCCUGCAAAACCGGAUGAAGGCAGUGCUGUCAGGGCUUGGUGCUCCGUGAACAGCCACCUGGGGUCUGCACGUGUCUUCUGCCUCCACCCACCCCCGCUCAAACCCCCUUCCCAGCACCUCCCUCUCUGCAAGGUUCCGGAGUGGCCACCCACAGAGCAGCUCUGGGCUGGGCGCUGAGUCAUGAGGCUGUGGUGCCUGCCAGGGGGCGAGGGUGGCAGAUGGCUUCAUGUGGGCGUGAGUGAGGAGGGGGGCAGAUGGGAGGGGCAGUGACCCUGGGCCCAGCAGAGAUCCAGGGAAGUGGCCUGGGAGUUCUGGGGCCAGCAUUGAACGCAAGGUGUCAGCAAGUCUCCUGCCAGAGGUCCUGACGGAGGGGCUGUUCCAGGCCAUGCUCCUGGCUUCCGGUGGUUGCCGGCAACCCUGUGCAUUCCCUGCUUGUAGAGAUGAGAAAAUGGAGGUACCAAAAAGUGGGCUCUGAACUGCAGAGCCUGGCUCCAGAGCCCUUGUAUUUGACUACUGGGAUCCACCGUUAUUCUCACAGCCGCGUUUCCCACAGGGCUGCUUUGUAUGGCCUCUUAGAAAAGUCCUGCCUGUCUCCACCAUCCAGACUAUGAUGUCCGUGAGGUCAGAGGAAAGGGAGAAUGUCUCACAUACAGAAAAUGCUUGAUCAACAUUGAUGGAAUCAUAAAUGGGCCUCAGCGGCACCUGUCCUGAGUCAGCAUCUCACAGAGGUUUUGCCAGCGCCAGCCACAUCUCCAGCAUGAAGGUGAUUGUCUGAGUGUGUCCAGUCCAGUUCCUGCCUUAAUAAAAAUCACUGCUGCAAGGGAGAGGGCUGCCAAGGCCCUGCCUCCCUCCAACCCCAUCCUAGCCUGAGUCUUAACCAUUCUUCCAAUCCAGUUCCACUUUGGGCCAGUGCUUAACCCAGGGUAGCACUUUUGAGCCUCGCAACUCUUGGGAGUGAGUUUUCAUCCUAACGUUCUCAGAUGAGGAAAUUGGGCCUCAAAGAGUCCACACAGGUGAGGCACCAUGGCUCAUGCCUAUAAUCCUAACACUUUGGGAGGCCAAGGCAGGAGGAAUGCUUGAGCCCAGGAGUUCAAGACCAGCCUGGGCAACAUGGUGACACCCUGUCUCUAUAAAAAAAUACAACAAUUAGGCAAACGUGGUGGCAUGCACCUGUCAUCCCAGCUACCUGGGAGGCUGAGGUGGGAGGAUUGCUUGAGCCCAGGAGGCUGAGGCUGCAGUGAGCCAUGAUCCUGCCAGUACACUCCAGCCUGGGUGACAGAACAAGACCCUGUCUCAAAAACAAAACAAAACAAAAACAAAAACAAAGCAUCCACACAACUAGCAGGUGAAAAACUGGGGUUCAAACUCAGGCCUAUAACACUAAGGGCUGGGCCUGUCCCCACCAAAUCAGUCUUUCCUCAGACAGGCUGAGGUGUCCUCUAUAGACCAAAUAUCUGGAGGUCAGAACACUGAGACACUAGUUAUGUAAAGGCAGGGUGUGAGUUGGUGAGCUCAUCGAGAAAAUGCUUCCUGGGCUGGGUGCAGUGGCUCACACCUGUAAUCCCAGCACUUUGGGAGGCUGAGGUGGACAGAUCACCUCAAGUCAGGAGUUCAAGACCAGCCUGGCCAACAUGCUGAAACUCUGUCUCUACUAAAAAAUACAAAAAUUUGCCAAGCGCAGUGGCACAUGCCUGUAAUACUAGCUCCUCGGGAGGCUGAGGCAGGAGAACCGCUUGAACCCAGGAGGCAGAGGUUGCAGUGAGCCAAGAUUGCACCACUGAACUCUAGCCUGGGUGACAGAGCAAAACUCUGUCUCAAAAAAAAAAAAAGAAAAGAGAAAAAAGAAAGAGAGAGAAAGAAAGAGAGAGAGAAAGAGAAAGAAA